rnacentral:rRNA from 1 species
GUCGAACGAUGAAGUCUAGCUUGCUAGAUGGAUUAGUGGUGCACGGGUGAGUAAUGCAUAGGUAACGUGCCCCUUAGUCUGGGAUAGCCACUGGAAACGGUGAAUAAUACUGGAUACUCCUUCUGCCUUGAUGGUAGUCGGGAAAGUUUUUCGCUAAGGGAUCGGCCUAUGUUGUAUCAGGUAGUUGGUGAGGUAAUGGCUCACCAAGCCUAUGACACAUAGCGGGUCUGAGAGGAUGAUCCGCCACACUGGUACUGAGACACGGACCAGACUCCUACGGGAGGCAGCAGUGGGGAAUAUUGCACAAUGGACGAAAGUCUGAUGCAGCAACGCCGCGUGGAGGAUGACACAUUUCGGUGCGUAAACUCCUUUUAUAUGAGAAGAUAAUGACGGUAUCAUAUGAAUAAGCACCGGCUAACUCCGUGCCAGCAGCCGCGGUAAUACGGAGGGUGCAAGCGUUAUUCGGAAUCACUGGGCGUAAAGGGUGCGUAGGCGGUUUGAUAAGUCUGAUGUGAAAUCCUACAGCUUAACUGUAGAACUGCAUUGGAAACUGUCAGACUAGAAUACUGAAGGGGCAGAUGGAAUUAGUGGUGUAGGGGUAAAAUCCGUAGAUAUCACUAGGAAUACCGAAAGCGAAAGCGAUCUGCUGGGAAGUUAUUGACGCUGAGGCACGAAAGCGUGGGGAGCAAACGGGAUUAGAUACCCCGGUAGUCCACGCCCUAAACGAUGAAUGCUAGUCGUCGGAAAGCUCGUCUUUUCGGUGAUGCAGUUAACACAUUAAGCAUUCCGCCUGGGGAGUACGGUCGCAAGAUUAAAACUCAAAGGAAUAGACGGGGACCCGCACAAGUGGUGGAGCAUGUGGUUUAAUUCGAAGAUACGCGAAGAACC